rnacentral:sRNA from 2 species
UAUUCAUACAUGCCAAAACUUUUUGAUUACAAAAAAGUGUGGGGGACUUAUUGAUGGAGCAUAGGACGAUGAUACAUCGUUACCUGUAUCCUUGGGGUGAAUCGCGCAUAGUGCGUGUAGGGUAAACUUCCUUACCCAAACCCGACAACUAACUCCGCAGGCAUAUAAGGAGGAAAUA